UGUCGGCUCGUCGCAUCCUGGGGGUGGAGUUGCUCCCAAGGGUUGGGCUGUUCGCCCAUUAAAGCGGUACGCGAGCUGGGUUCAGAACGUCGUGAGACAGUAUGUUCCGUUGCUGUCUAUAAAUUCGGCUAUAUGCUGGAAAACCCGUGGAUCCCGCAUUACUCGUAGCGUCUGUUCCGACCGAACGGAUCCCUACAGUGAAAACAUGUCGGGUGCGGACAAUCAGCAGGAAAGGCUGGAUGGCUACAUCGCGGGCUACGUAGAUGGCGAGGGCUGCUUUGCGGUCGCCGUCAAUCGCAAUCCCAGCUGCCGCAGUGGAUAUCAGCUCGUUCCUGAGUUUCAUGUCAGCCAAAACGGCGACAGAUCUCAGGUACUGAGUGUGAUUCGCGAGCGGUUUGGGGGUUGCGGCUACAUCAAGCCCAACGGAAGGAAGGAUCGUGCCCUGGUGUACGUCGUGAGGCGGCGUGAGCACCUGCUGGAGCAUGUGAUCCCCUUCUUCGAGCGUACGCCGCUUAUGUCUUCCAAGCAGGAAGACUUCGGGAAGUUUGCGGCGAUCGUUCGGUCCAUGGCUCUCGGUCACCAUCGCACCGCGAGCGGAUUUUCCCGGCUUCUAGACGAAGCUCUGUCGAUGAACGGGAAUGGCCGCUUUAGAAGCGUGCGCUGGAAGGAGCUCCUAGCAGCCGUCCAGAAUCCUCAGAGACUGUACGCCGAACGCGAAGAAUGAUGCCUUCGCGAAGAUACAGUCCGAGCUGCAUGGCGACAUGCAGAGCUAGGCAGAAAUGACCUAGCCCGGAGCCUGGUGCAGGCUCCGGUAACAAAACUGUCGGUCCCUAUCUGCCGUGGGCGCUGGAGAAUUGAGAGGAGUUGUCCCUAGUACGAGAGGACCGGGAUGAACACACCUCUGGUGUAUCUGUUGUCCUGCCAAGGGCACCGCAGGUUAGCUACGUGUGGAGCGGAUAACCGCUGAAAGCAUCUAAGCGGGAAGCCGACCUCGAGAUGAGUUCUCCCAUCCCCUAGAGGGAGUAAGACCCCUGGUAGACCACCAGGUUGAUAGGCCGGAUCUGGAAGAGCGGCAACGCUCGAAGGAGACCGGUACUAAUGGGUCGAGGGCUUGACGGAUUU
rnacentral:rRNA from 1 species